rnacentral:rRNA from 1 species
GCUUACGGCCAUACCAACCUGGCUAUGCCCGAUCUCGUCUGAUCUCGGAGGCUAAGCAGGUUUGGGCCUGGUUAGUACUUGGAUGGGAGACCGCCUGGGAAUACCAGGUGCUGUAAGCU